rnacentral:tRNA from 2 species
GGCCCUCUGCACAGUCUGUGAAUGUGUCCAGCUCAUAACUGGGGUAAGCCGGGUUAGAUUCCCGGGAGGGCCACCA